rnacentral:rRNA from 1 species
CCUACGGGAGACAGCAGUGAGGAAUAUUGGUUAAUGGACGCAAGUCUGAACCAGCCAUGCCGCGUGCAGGAAGACGGCUCUAUGAGUUGUAAACUUCUUUUGUACGAGGGUAAACGCAGAUACGCGUAUCUGUCUGAAAGUAUCGUACGAAUAAGGAUCGGCUAACUCCGUGCCAGCAGCCGCGGUAAUACGGAGGAUUCGAGCGUUAUCCGGAUUUAUUGGGUUUAAAGGGUGCGUAGGCGGGCGGAUAAGUUAGAGGUGAAAUCCCGAGGCUCAACUUCGGAAUUGCCUCUGAUACUGUUAGGCUAGAGAGUAGUUGCGGUAGGCGGAAUGUAUGGUGUAGCGGUGAAAUGCUUAGAGAUCAUACAGAACACCGAUUGCGAAGGCAGCUUACCAAGCUACGUCUGACGUUGAGGCACGAAAGCGUGGGGAGCAAACAGGAUUAGAUACCCCAGUAGUC